GGUUAUGGCUCAGUGGUAGAGUGCUUGCCUAGCAUGUGUGAGGCAUUGGGUUCAAUUCUCAGUACUA
rnacentral:tRNA from 1 species